rnacentral:rRNA from 1 species
CUACGGGUUGCUGCAGUGGGGAAUAUUGGACAAUGGGGGAAACCCUGAUCCAGCAAUGCCGCGUGUGUGAAGAAGGCCUGCGGGUUGUAAAGCACUUUCGGUUGGGAGGACUGCUUCUAGCACUAAUAUUGUUGGAAGUUGACGUUACCUUCAGAAGAAGCACCGGCUAACUCCGUGCCAGCAGCCGCGGUAAAACGGAGGGUGCAAGCGUUAAUCGAAAUUACUGGGCGUAAAGCGCGCGUAGGCGGCUAGAUCAGUCGGGUGUGAAAGCCCCGGGCUUAACCUGGGAACUGCAUCCGAUACUGUCUAGCUUGAGUACAGGAGAGGAGAGUGGAAUUCCACAUGUAGCGGUGAAAUGCGUAGAUAUGUGGAGGAACACCAAUGGCGAAGGCAGCUCUCUGGCCUGAUACUGACGCUGAGGUGCGAAAGCGUGGGGAGCAAACAGGAUUAGAUACCCCAGUAGUC